rnacentral:tRNA from 1 species
GAGACCUUAGUUUAACGGCAAAAUCUGUGACUUUUGAUCAUCAUUAUACGGGUUCAAAUCCCGUAGGUCUUA